GCCCAGCCGUAAGCAAUUAACUUACACCAAUCAGCGCCAGGGAACUACAAGCAAUGCUUAAAACCCAAAGGACUUGACGGUGUCCCACCCACCUAGAGGAGCCUGUUCUAUAAUCGAUAAUCCCCGCUUUACCUAACCAUCCCUUGGCUUUUCAGUCUGUAUACCUCCGUCGAAAGCUUACCAUGUGAACGUCCUCAGUAAGCUUAAUGACCCCAUCAAUACGUCAGGUCAAGGUGCAGCUCACGGAAUGGGAAGAAAUGGGCUACAAUUUCUAACCUAGAACAAACGAAAGGCUACGUGAAACCCUAGCCCCGAAGGCGGAUUUAGUAGUAAAAAGAAAAUAGAGAGUUCUUUUUAACCCGGCUCUGGGACGCGUACACACCGCC
rnacentral:rRNA from 1 species